UAGGGAAUCUUCCACAAUGGACGCAAGUCUGAUGGAGCAACGCCGCGUGAGUGAAGAAGGGUUUCGGCUCGUAAAGCUCUGUUGUUAAAGAAGAACGUGGGUAAGAGUAACUGUUUACCCAGUGACGGUUAUUUAACCAGAAAGCCACGGCUAACUACGUGCCAC
rnacentral:rRNA from 1 species